rnacentral:rRNA from 1 species
ACGCCGAGGACGCCCAGAGAUACCUUGACCGCGUCGAGGUCAGGGUCUCCCACGCUGAGCUCCCUGACCACGGCGAAUCCCUGGCUGGCCAGCGCCGGCGUUACGAUCCUCAUCCCGACGAUGUACUCGUGGACGGCGCUGCCCUUGCCCCACAGCGAGCUGCCGUGGGCACCCGUGGCAAGGAGGCCCCCGAUGGUGACUCCGUACCAGUAG